rnacentral:pre_miRNA from 1 species
AAAGUACUCUCUCCGUUCUGAAUUACUUGUCGCAGGUAUGGAUGUAUUUAGAUGUAUUUUAAUUCUAGAUACAUCCAUUUCUGCGAUGAGUAAUUUGGAACGGAGGGAGUAGGAG